CAGGGGAGGAGCACAGACAGAUGGCUUCUUAAGAUUUCACUUCUAGUAACCCCCGGAUGUAGUUAGAAGGCGAACGGGGUCACCAAAGCCACGAUAAGGAAGGCUGAAAUCCAGAUCAUGCAUCGCAUCUAGAGCACGCUGGUUCGAGUCCAGCCUAGUAACCCCCGGAUAUAGUUAGAAGGUGAACAGGGUCAUCAAAGCCACGAUAAGGAAGGCUGAAAUCCAGGUCAUGCAUCGCAUCUAGAGAACACUGGUUCGAGUCCAGCUCGUGACAAGACCUUUGGUCAUUGAAUCUCCCGGUGCCUCUUCUCCUUAGACGGAGGAUGACUCUCCCAUGAACUGAGACAACCUCUUUUUCCUAGUUAGGACAUUCAGAUAGAUUAACCCCUAAAGGAGAUCCCAUCUCUCUUAUUCUUUCUCGAGUUACACGGAAAGAUCACGGCUGCAUUUAGGAGUGAAAGCGAGGGAGUGAGAUUUUAGGUUUCAUUUGGGUAGAUUGAAUACCAAGCCAAUCUCCAUUAACAAAAGAAAACUUAUUGAAACUACGAACGUGAAUAGAUGCUUUCUCAUUAGACUAUUUUAAGUGAUUGUUUAUGUCGACCCUACGCUACGAUUCUUCUUCUCUUAUGAAAUUUCUAGUUAGAUGAACACUGCUCUGCUGCAUAACGGAGUGAUCUUUCCCUCUUAUGAAAGCC
rnacentral:lncRNA from 1 species